rnacentral:rRNA from 1 species
CCUACGGGGGGCUGCAGUGGGGAAUUUUGGACAAUGGGGGCAACCCUGAUCCAGCCAUGCCGCGUGCGGGAAGAAGGCCUUCGGGUUGUAAACCGCUUUUGUCAGGGAAGAAAUCUUCCGAGCUAAUACCUUGGGAGGAUGACGGUACCUGAAGAAUAAGCACCGGCUAACUACGUGCCAGCAGCCGCGGUAAUACGUAGGGUGCAAGCGUUAAUCGGAAUUUGCGGGCGCAAAGGUGGAACAGAGGUGUGAAAUCCCCGGGCUUAACCUGGGAACGGCACUUGGGACUGUACGGCUGGAGUACGGCAGAGGGGGAUGGAAUUCCGCGUGUAGCAGUGAAAUGCGUAGAUAUGCGGAGGAACACCGAUGGCGAAGGCAGUCCCCUGGGCCUGUACUGACGCUCAUGCACGAAAGCGUGGGGAGCAAACAGGAUUAGAUACCCGGGUAGUC